CAAACCGGAGGAAGGUGGGGAUGACGUCAAGUCAUCAUGGCCCUUACGGCCUGGGCUACACACGUGCUACAAUGGCGGUACAAAGGGUUGCCAAGCCGCGAGGUGGAGCUAAUCCCAUAAAACCGAUCGUAGUCCGGAUCGCAGUCUGCAACUCGACUGCGUGAAGUCGGAAUCGCUAGUAAUCGUGAAUCAGAAUGUCACGGUGAAUACGUUCCCGGGCCUU
rnacentral:rRNA from 1 species